rnacentral:tRNA from 1 species
GAGGUUAUAGCUCAGUGGUAGAGUGCAUGCCUAGCAUGCAUAAGGUCCUGGGUCCAAUCCCCAGUACCUCCA